UCCCCGUUCUCCUGGGCAGUCUCUCCAGAGUUCCCGGCAUGACCCGUUGGUAACUGAAGACAGGGGUUGCGCUCGUUGCGGGACUUAACCCAACACCUCACGGCACGAGCUGACGACAGCCGUGCACCACCUGUGCACCACCCUCGAAGGCGACUCCUUUUCGGGAGCUUGCAGGUGCAUGUCAAGCCCUGGUAAGGUUCUUCGCGUUGCAUCGAAUUAAGCCACAUGCUCCACCGCUUGUGCGGGCCCCCGCCAAUUCCUUUGAGUUUCAACCUUGCGGCCGUAGUCCCCAGGCGGUUCACUUAAUGCGUUAGCUGCGGCACCGAGGGAUAUCCCCCAACACCUAGUGAACAUCGUUUAAGGCCAAGACUAC
rnacentral:misc_RNA from 1 species